GACGAACCGAGCGAACGUUAUUCGGAAUCACUGGGCUUAAAGGGCGCGUAGGCGGGCGGCCAAGUCAGGGGUGAAAGCCCCCAGCUCAACUGGGGAAGUGCCUUUGAUACUGGUCAUCUCGAGGGAGAUAGGGGCGUGCGGAACUUCCGGUGGAGCGGUGAAAUGCGUAGAUAUCGGAAGGAACACCGGUGGCGAAAGCGGCGCGCUGGAUCUCUUCUGACGCUGAUGCGCGAAAGCCAGGGGAGCGAACGGG
rnacentral:rRNA from 1 species